AGAGAGGGAGCUGUGUCUGAGGAGACGCCAAAAUCCCCCUUAGCGGUGCCUGCGGGAGGGGGAGGGGGCACAAGAUGGCGGCGGCCGGGGGGGCGGGAGUUCAGCUCAUGGAUCCCGGCGGGCGGCGGAGGGGAGACCGGGCCGGCGGAGGCGGCAGCGGCAACGGGCGGGGGAGGGGGCCGAUCCCGCGUCUCCCCUCGGCAGACAAUACAAGCGCCUCGGAGCGAGUCCCCGAACCUGCCCUAGCCAAAAUGGCGGCCGAGAAAGAGCGGAAGUGACGUCUGCUGUCGCCUGGGACUUGACAUUCUUCCAACUCAGUCAUGGACUCUUCUCUUUGGCCUGAAGAAAAGUGGAAUCCCAAGCGUUCUGAGACCACUGGACUGGUGAAGCCGAAGGAUGAAGUGAUGUUGCCAGUGGCCCUCCAGAUCCCUAAGAACACUGUAACCCUAGGGCGGUCAUAUGAACCAAAUCUAAAACUGAAAAAGCACAGAUGAUGAAUACUUUGUUGGUUUACUCAAGUUUCAAGCUGCAUUUCAAGAACAACUAUAAAGGCAGGCUCUUUGCCACUGAGCUAAAUCCCCAGCCCCAAGACUUUCCUUUUCAAUUUCUGGUCAAGAACAAAGAGAUAAUACCUCAGCUCACAGAAAAAUGGUACAGUACUUCUCAAGAAGGUAAGCAAGUAGGACAGCCUCUUUGUUGUUUUUUGUUUUGUUUUGUUUUUGGGUGAUGUCUGGAAAGGGACUUAUUCCAGACAGUAGUGCUAGUCUGCCUGGCCAGUGCAACCAAAUACCUUCCAGUGCUGGGCUUAAACAGUGGAAAUUUCUUUCUUAGUUUUAGAGGCUGGGAACUUCACAAUCACUGGCUUGCUAUAUCCUCACCCAGAGCAGAAAAAGAAAACAAGUCUUUGGCCUCUGCUUAAGAAAACACUAAUCCCAUUAAGGAGCCUGCCCACAAGAUAUCUUCUAAACAACCUCUCAAAGGUCCCAUCUCCAAAUUCCAAAAGGCUUUAACAUGAAUUUGGGAGGAACACAAACAGUCCAUCACUAAGAGUGACUUUUGUUGAAUUGCUUUAAACACAUAGGGUAUAGACUACUAAUGUGUGUCACACAGGGAGAGCCAACGGGAGUGCGCGGGAAGCAGGUCUCUGGUCUCUACUUACGAGAUCAGUAAGUCUGUGCCCUGUGCAGCUCACACUGGCCUUAACAUCAUGGGGUCUGCCCACAUGACAUCUUCUAAGUGCCUCUCAAGGACCCAUCUACAAAUUCAAGACACUGGGGGUUCACAAACAAUCUUUAACAAUGAAUUUGGGGUGACUGCUUCAAACACAACUAAUAUAGACUAUUAGUGUCUAAUAGAUAUUAACAUUUGAAAAGAUGCCAACUGCCUAAAGAAAGCAACUUUUGUACUUCAGCUAUUUAAUACGUUCAGAUUCAGAAAAAAAGUUUUCUGUGAGGGACUGAAGUGAAUAGUUUCUAAAGCUGUAGAGAGCCUCCCUAGGUCCUCUUCCCGGCCCAGAAAGUUUGUAUUUGCAAUCCCAUGGAAAAGUUACUGGAAUCCACUCAUGUUAAUUCCAAUCUACCACUCCCAGUGCAACCCACAGCGUAAAUAAAGACACAAUAAUAUAUCCAAAAUGGUGGGGAACCAAGGGGGUCCUACGUCCAGCUAAGAUGAAGUUUAACUGGAACAAAAAGCCUCGACCCAUGAUCUAACCCGGAUUGUAUUUAUUCAUGAAGAAGGGAGUGGCUUGGGGAUGAGUGACCAUGGGAGUGGCAAGAAGUACGUGGGAGCAGCAGGAAGUACCUGAGUGCUGUGAGCUGGACUAGGUAGGAGGCCCGAAAUCACCUCUGCAAUACUGAAAGGAUCUGCAGAAAGAGUAAUCUGCGUAACACAACUGAUAUAGCAGCUAAUGUCUUGGGGUCCUGCUUUAGCUCCGAUGUGUCAUCUUCCAAGCCCCAGGAAGUUCACAGCCUCUUUUCUUGAGGCUCUCCAUUGCGGAGACAGCGUGGCACACUGUCUUCAUCUGGCCUCCUCCCAGUUCACACGUUUUAUUUGGGAGCUAUGUGGGGCUGGGGAAACACUCUGCUGUCUUUGCUUCAAGGACCACAUAUCAGCACCUCAGCUGCGCCAAUAUACAUCGCUUAAAGCUGAUAAAGGGAUAAGGAAAAGUCCUAGCCAGCUCUGUACUUAUCGAUACAUGGAAAUAGGGUCAGGUUCAGCCAAAAUAGAGACAACUGCUCCUCCUUGAAGAAGAGUCAUCCAGGUGGUUCUCCAGACAGGCCUUGUCAGCAAAUAUUACCUUUAUACAAACCACAACGUUAGGGGCUACCUCUGACCUGAUAGCUAACAAUUUUCCCCCCCUUCAGUUUGUUUCUACUAGCUAUAAAAAUAUUCCUGGACGGGCUGGGGAUUUAGCUCAGCGGCAAAAGCGCCUGCCUGGCAAGCGCAAGGUCGUGAGUUCGGUUCCCGGAGAAACCCCCCACCAAAAAAAAAUAUUCCUGGACAGUUUACCCCCCAAAAGUAGAUUUAAGGAAAGGAAUAUGUAUAUAUAUGUGCAUAUGUAGUUGUAUAUCUUGCAAGGUAGUACUUAUUUUUAUUUUAUUAUUUUGUCUAGACACACCUGUGUUGGCCAGGCUGGCUUUAUACUCCUAGGUUUAAGCA